AUGGACCAGGCUCAGCAGGCUCUAGAUUGUCUCCCCUGUGUUCCAGAACCUGUAACCGAACCCAAGGUCUUCCCUCUGAGCCACGCAAUCACAGACGACCACGCGGUCCUUGGCUGCCUGGUGCAGGGCUACUUCCCAGAGCCUGUGACAGUGAACUGGAGCUACAGCGCGACAGGCGUCAACAUCAGCCAAUUCCCGGCAGUGCAGGCUGAAGGGAGCUCCCUGUACACCACAAGCAGCCUGCUCACCCUGCCAGCCAACCAGUGCCUGGACACUGCCACUUUCGUCUGUCAGGUGCAGCUCAAAGAAUCCAGCUCAACCCAGGAAGCGAUCGUGCCCUGCAAAGCCACUCCCGUUCCCUGUCCUGACUGUCCUGCGUGCUGCCAAGCCCGUCUGUCGCUGCACCGGCCAGCCCUCGAAGACCUGCUCCUGAGCUCCAACGCCAGCCUCAAGUGCACUCUGAGUGGCCUCAAAGACCCUAAAGGUGCCGUCUUCACCUGGAAGCCCUCGGGCGAGAAGGCCACCACCCAGGAGGCACCUGAACGUGACUCCUGCGGCUGCUACAGCGUCACCAGUGUCCUGCCAGGCUGCGCCGAGCCAUGGAAACGUGGGGACACUUUCACAUGCUCAGCUGUCCACCCCGAGGCCAAGAGCCUGGAGGCUGUCACCAUCACCAAAGACUCAGGGAACAGCUUCCCUCCCCAGGUCCACCUACUGCCGCCGCCGUCGGAGGAGCUGGCCCAGAAUGCGGAGGUGACGCUGAUGUGUUUGGUUCGGGGCUUCUCCCCCAAGGAGGUGUUGAUACGCUGGCUGCGAGAGAGUGAGGCGCUGCCCAGCAAGGACUACGUGACCUUGGCCCCGGUAAAGGAGCCAGGCCAGGGCACCGACAGAUUCGCCGUGACCAGUCUCCUGCGAGUGUCGGCCAAGGACUGGCAAGCGGGAGACAACUACUCCUGCAUGGUGGGCCAUGAGUCCCUGCCCGUGCCCUUCACCCAGAAGACCAUCAACCGCUUGGCGGGUAAACCCACCCAUGUCAACGUGUCUGUGGUCAUGGCUGAGGUGGAUGGCAUCUGCUACUGAGCCUCCCACACCCACCUGCCCCUUGAAUAAACACCGUGCUCACCAGAAGCAGCACCGCUCUUC